GAGGAAUAUAAAUAGACCUCAAGGGAUCCAAUUGAAGCUCUCCUCUCUCUGCCGUAUCUCUCCAUGCCGUGCAAUAUUUUUACAGCAAUAUAUUUUCUUCAGCAUUUUAUUUUCUUUGCUUUUGUUUUUAUUUUCUUUGCUAGCUUAAUUUACUAAGCAUUCAAUUUAUUUUCUCACAAUAGUUUCUACACCGGAAACUAUUGUGUACUUUUCACUAGAUCUAACCUUACGUCGGAUCACAGUAUUUUUAUUUCUUUGUUUUUACCUGUCUG
rnacentral:lncRNA from 1 species